rnacentral:rRNA from 1 species
CACGUAGGGCGCAAGCGUUGUCCGGAAUUAUUGGGCGUAAAGAGCUCGUAGGUGGUUUGUUACGUCUGCUGUGAAAUCCUAGGGCUUAACCCUGGGCUUGCAGUGGAUACGGGCAGACUAGAGGUAGGUAGGGGAGAAUGGAAUUCCUGGUGUAGCGGUGAAAUGCGCAGAUAUCAGGAGGAACACCGGUGGCGAAGGCGGUUCUCUGGGCCUUACCUGACGCUGAGACGCGAAAGCGUGGGGAGCGAACCGG